UGGGCCUGCGGGCCGCGGGACAGGGAGGGCGCGGGGCGGGGCUGCCGGGUCCGAGCUCUGGGCACGAUGUCCUCCCUGACGCCGCCAGGACAGCACCUGGCCCAGGCCCGGGCCUGGUGAACGCGGGUUCCUUCCUCUGAGGUUCAUCACUCCGCACUUGGGUUUCAGCAAACCACAAGAAGCACUUCAUGAACUGGUGACUCAAGUAGAAAAGCAAGUAUUUUUGAAAUGGUGUAUCUAAAUAUAAGGUGCUCUAAUGAGGCUUUUGGGAAGCUAGAACAUAAGUGGCCCAAAGAGAACAAAGGUACUGUUCCACGCACUUGACACCAAUCCACCCAUUUCACCUGCAUGAUCACCCUGCCUUUGCAUGAGGUGCCGGUAUGGACAGAGCAGGGACACAGUGAGGCAGCGGAUUCCGGCUCUGCUCUUACCUAGAACACACUGCCUCUCACCAGGAAUCGUCCUUCCAUUUUAUGCAGUUAUCACAGACAAUGAUGCACAAGCUUUGGGAAAAAAAACCCACAAGUCCAAAGGUGUACUUCAUAAUAAAGGCAAGUUCUCUAGUCA